rnacentral:rRNA from 1 species
AGAGUUUGAUCCUGGCUCAGAUUGAACGCUGGCGGAAUGCUUAACACAUGCAAGUCGAGCGGCAGCAUGCCCUUCGGGGUGAUGGCGAGCGGCGGACGGGUGAGUAAUACAUAGGAAUCUGCCCUAGAGUGGGGGAUAGCCCGGGGAAACUCGGAUUAAUACCGCAUACGCCCUACGGGGGAAAGCGGGGGAUCUUCGGACCUCGCGCCAUUAGAUGAGCUUAGGUCAGAUUAGCUAGUUGGUGAGGUAAUGGCUCACCAAGGCGACGAUCUGUAGCUGGUCUGAGAGGAUGAUCAGCCACACUGGGACUGAGACACGGCCCAGACUCCUACGGGAGGCAGCAGUGGGGAAUAUUGGACAAUGGGCGAAAGCCUGAUCCAGCCAUGCCGCGUGUGUGAAGAAGGCCCUAGGGUUGUAAAGCACUUUAAGCUGGGAAGAUGGUGCGUGUGACUAAUACUCACAUGUAUAGACGGUACCAGCAGAAUAAGCACCGGCUAACUCCGUGCCAGCCGCCGCGGUAAUUC